GACGAACGCUGGCGGCGUGCUUAACACAUGCAAGUCAAGCGAUGAAGUUUUUUCGGAAAUGGAUUAGCGGCGAACGGGUGAGGAACACGUGAAGAAUCUGCCCUCCACUUUGGGAUAACACAGGGAAACCUGUGCUAAUACCGAAUAUUGAAACAUAAGUGGCAUCACUGAGUUUUGAAAGAAUUUCGGUGGAGGAUGACUUCGCGGCCUAUCAGCUAGUUGGGGAGGUAAUGGCUCACCAAGGCAACGACGGGUAGCCGGCCUGAGAGGGCGACCGGCCACACUGGGACUGAGACACGGCCCAGACUCCUACGGGAGGCAGCAGUGGGGAAUAUUGGGCAAUGGAGGAAACUCUGACCCAGCGACGCCGCGUGCGGGAUGAAGGCCUUCGGGCUGUAAACCGCUUUCAGUAGGGAAGAAGCGAAAGUGACGGUACCUACAAAAGAAGCACCGGCUAACUAUGUGCCAGCCGCCGCCGUAA
rnacentral:rRNA from 1 species